rfam:Mus musculus chromosome 16, GRC primary reference assembly.
UGCCCCAGCAAUGGGGAAAGUGACACCUUGUUGAUGGAAUUGAUCUUAUAUCAGUCAGUGGCAGAGCAGGUGGCAGUCCUUUGUUCAUCCUAGCUUGAUGUCUGGCUUGGUGGCCAAAGCUGCCUUAUGCCUAAGGCUCAUAA